GAUGAACGCUGGCGGCGUGCUUAACACAUGCAAGUCGAACGGAAAGGCCGAAGCUUGCUUCGGUACUCGAGUGGCGAACGGGUGAGUAACACGUGGGUGAUCUGCCCUGUACUUCGGGAUAAGCUUGGGAAACUGGGUCUAAUACCGGAUAUGACGAUCUCUUGGAUGGGGUUGUGGAAAGCUUUUGCGGUAUGGGAUGAGCUCGCGGCCUAUCAGCUUGUUGGUGGGGUAAUGGCCUACCAAGGCGUCGACGGGUAGCCGGCCUGAGAGGGUGUACGGCCACAUUGGGACUGAGAUACGGCCCAGACUCCUACGGGAGGCAGCAGUGGGGAAUAUUGCACAAUGGGCGCAGGCCUGAUGCAGCGACGCCGCGUGGGGGAUGACGGCCUUCGGGUUGUAAACUCCUUUCGCAAUCGACGAAGCCUUUUGGUGACGGUAGGUGGAGAAGAAGCACCGGCUAACUACGUG
rnacentral:rRNA from 1 species